rnacentral:ncRNA from 1 species
CAGAGUAGAUCUGCAAGCGUUAAGUGUCGCGUGAACGGGGAGUUGUCGCGCGAACGAAAAGUUUUCUUGCGAUGAGCAGAUCGCAUCCCGCUG